rnacentral:ncRNA from 1 species
AGGAGAACUGUGAGGAGCCAACCCUAGUAUGAGAGGAUUGGGUUAGGCCAACUUAUGGUGUACUGAUUGUUUUGCUAAUAGCAGCCCUAGUCAGCUAAGUUGGUAUGGAGGAACCGCUGUGUUGCGGGAAAUCCUUCUUUAUACAAGUUCUCAGAUAGGGCUUUUAAACAUCACUUCGAUAGGCGAGAGGUGUAAGCACCACAUAGUGUUUAGUGAUCUCAUACUAAACGAAAGG